rnacentral:rRNA from 1 species
AGAGUUUGAUCCUGGCUCAGAACGAACGCUGGCGGCGUGGAUAAGACAUGCAAGUCGAACGAGAGAAUUGCUAGCUUGCUAAUAAUUCUCUAGUGGCGCACGGGUGAGUAACACGUGAGUAACCUGCCCCCGAGAGCGGGAUAGCCCUGGGAAACUGGGAUUAAUACCGCAUAGAAUCGCAAGAUUCAAGCAGCAAUGCGCUUGGGGAUGGGCUCGCGGCCUAUUAGUUAGUUGGUGAGGUAACGGCUCACCAAGGCGAUGACGGGUAGCCGGUCUGAGAGGAUGUCCGGCCACACUGGAACUGAGACACGGUCCAGACACCUACGGGUGGCAGCAGUCGAGAAUCAUUCACAAUGGGGGAAACCCUGAUGGUGCGACGCCGCGUGGGGGAAUGAAGGUCUUCGGAUUGUAAACCCCUGUCAUGUGGGAGCAAAUUAAAAAGAUAGUACCACAAGAGGAAGAGACGGCUAACUCUGUGCCAGCAGCCGCGGUAAUACAGAGGUCUCAAGCGUUGUUCGGAAUCACUGGGCGUAAAGCGUGCGUAGGCUGUUUCGUAAGUCGUGUGUGAAAGGCGCGGGCUCAACCCGCGGACGGCACAUGAUACUGCGAGACUAGAGUAAUGGAGGGGGAACCGGAAUUCUCGGUGUAGCAGUGAAAUGCGUAGAUAUCGAGAGGAACACUCGUGGCGAAGGCGGGUUCCUGGACAUUAACUGACGCUGAGGCACGAAGGCCAGGGGAGCGAAAGGGAUUAGAUACCCCUGUAGUCCUGGCAGUAAACGGUGCACGCUUGGUGUGCGGGGAAUCGACCCCCUGCGUGCCGGAGCUAACGCGUUAAGCGUGCCGCCUGGGGAGUACGGUCGCAAGAUUAAAACUCAAAGAAAUUGACGGGGACCCGCACAAGCGGUGGAGUAUGUGGCUUAAUUCGAUGCAACGCGAAGAACCUUACCUGGGCUUGACAUGUAAUGAACAACAUGUGAAAGCAUGCGACUCUUCGGAGGCGUUACACAGGUGCUGCAUGGCCGUCGUCAGCUCGUGUCGUGAGAUGUUUGGUUAAGUCCAGCAACGAGCGCAACCCCUGUUGCCAGUUACCAGCACGUGAAGGUGGGGACUCUGGCGAGACUGCCCAGAUCAACUGGGAGGAAGGUGGGGACGACGUCAGGUCAGUAUGGCCCUUAUGCCCAGGGCUGCACACGUACUACAAUGCCCAGUACAGAGGGGGCCGAAGCCGCGAGGCGGAGGAAAUCCUAAAAACUGGGCCCAGUUCGGACUGUAGGCUGCAACCCGCCUACACGAAGCCGGAAUCGCUAGUAAUGGCGCAUCAGCUACGGCGCCGUGAAUACGUUCCCGGGUCUUGCACACACCGCCCGUCA